UGGGGAAUAUUGGACAAUGGGCGAAAGCCUGAUCCAGCCAUGCCGCGUGUGUGAAGAAGGUCUUCGGAUUGUAAAGCACUUUAAGUUGGGAGGAAGGGCAGUAAGCGAAUACCUUGCUGUUUUGACGUUACCGACAGAAUAAGCACCGGCUAACUCUGUGCCAGCAGCCGCGGUAAUACAGAGGGUGCAAGCGUUAAUCGGAAUUACUGGGCGUAAAGCGCGCGUAGGUGGUUCGUUAAGUUGAAUGUGAAAGCCCCGGGCUCAACCUGGGAACUGCAUCCAAUACUGGCGAGCUAGAGUAGGGCAGAGUGUGGUGGAAUUUCCUGUGUAGCGGUGAAAUGCGUAGAUAUAGGAAGGAACACCAGUGGCGAAGGCGACCACCUGGGCUCAUACUGACACUGAGGUGCGAAAGCGUGGGGAGCAAACAGG
rnacentral:rRNA from 1 species